rnacentral:rRNA from 1 species
GUUGGUAACGUCAAAACAGCAAGGUAUUAACUUACUGCCCUUCCUCCCAACUUAAAGUGCUUUACAAUCCGAAGACCUUCUUCACACACGCGGCAUGGCUGGAUCAGGCUUUCGCCCAUUGUCCAAUAUUCCCCACUGCUGCCUCCCGUAGGAGUCUGGACCGUGUCUCAGUUCCAGUGUGACUGAUCAUCCUCUCAGACCAGUUACGGAUCGUCGCCUUGGUAGGCCUUUACCCCACCAACUAGCUAAUCCGACCUAGGCUCAUCUGAUAGCGUGAGGUCUGAAGAUCCCCCACUUUCUCCCUCAGGACGUAUGCGGUAUUAGCGCCCGUUUCCGGACGUUAUCCCCCACUACCAGGCAGAUUCCUAGGCAUUACUCACCCGUCCGCCGCUGAAUCCAGGAGCAAGCUCCCUUCAUCCGCUCGACUUGCAUGUGUUAGGCCUGCCGCCAGCGUUCAAUCUGAGCCAGGAUCAAACUCUG